AUACGUAGGUGGCAAGCGUUGUCCGGAAUUAUUGGGCGUAAAGCGCGCGCAGGUGGUUCCUUAAGUCUGAUGUGAAAGCCCCCGGCUCAACCGGGGCGGGUCAUUGGAAACUGGGGAACUUGAGUGCAGAAGAGGAUAGUGGAAUUCCAAGUGUAGCGGUGAAAUGCGUAGGGAUUUGGAGGAACACCAGUGGCGAAGUGGACUGUCUGGUCUGUAACUGACACUGAGGCGCGAAAGCGUGGGGAGCAAACAGGAUUAGAUACCCUGGUAGUCCACGCCGUAAACGAUGAGUGCUAAGUGUUGGGGGGUUUCCACCCCUCAGUGCUGCAGCUAACGCAUUAAGCACUCCGCCUGGGGAGUACGGUCGCAAGACUGAAACUCAAAGGAAUUGACGGGG
rnacentral:rRNA from 1 species